rnacentral:tRNA from 1 species
GGGGUUGUAGCUCAGUGGUAGAGCACUUGCCUAGCAUGUGUGAGGCAAUGGGUUCAAUUCUCAGCACCA